rnacentral:rRNA from 1 species
AACGAACGCUGGCGGCAUGCCUAACACAUGCAAGUCGAACGAGACCUUCGUGUCUAUUGGCGCACGGGUGCGUAACGCGUGGGAACCUGCCCGUAGGUUCGGAAUAACUCCCCGAAAGGGGUGCUAAUACCGGAGAAUGUCUUCGGACCAAAGAUUUAUCGCCUUUGGAUGGGCCCGCGUUGGAUUAGCUAGUUGGUAGGGUAAAAGCCUACCAAGGCGACGAUCCAUAGCUGGUCUGAGAGGAUGAUCAGCCACACUGGGACUGAGACACGGCCCAGACUCCUACGGGAGGGAGCAGUGGGGAAUAGUGGACGAUGGGCGCAAGCCUGAUACAGCAAUGCCGCGUGAGUGAUGAAGGCCUUAGGGUUGUAAAGCUCUUUUACCCGGGAUGAUAAUGACGGUACCGGGAGAAUAAGCACCGGCUAACUCCGUG